rnacentral:rRNA from 1 species
GACGAACGCUGGCGGCGUGCUUAACACAUGCAAGUCGAACGGAAAGGCCCAGCUUUUGUGGGGUGCUCGAGUGGCGAACGGGUGAGUAACACGUGAGUAACCUGCCCUUGACUUUGGGAUAACUUCAGGAAACUGGGGCUAAUACCGGAUAGGAGCUCCUGCUGCAUGGUGGGGGUUGGAAAGUUUCGGCGGUUGGGGAUGGACUCGCGGCUUAUCAGCUUGUUGGUGGGGUAGUGGCUUACCAAGGCUUUGACGGGUAGCCGGCCUGAGAGGGUGACCGGCCACAUUGGGACUGAGAUACGGCCCAGACUCCUACGGGAGGCAGCAGUGGGGAAUAUUGCACAAUGGGCGGAAGCCUGAUGCAGCAACGCCGCGUGCGGGAUGACGGCCUUCGGGUUGUAAUCCGCUUUCGCCUGUGACGAAGCGUGAGUGACGGUAAUGGGUAAAGAAGCACCGGCUAACUACGUG